UACGGAGGGUGCAAGCGUUAUCCGGAUUUACUGGGUUUAAAGGGAGCGCAGGCGGAUUGGUAAGUCAGUGGUGAAAUACCCGUGCUUAACAUGGGAACUGCCAUUGAUACUAUCAGUCUUGAAUGUUGUUGAGGUUUGCGGAAUGGGUCAUGUAGCGGUGAAAUGCAUAGAUAUGCGGAGGAACACCGAUGGCGAAGGCAAUCCCCUGGGCCUGUACUGACGCUCAUGCACGAAAGCGUGGGGAGCAAACAGG
rnacentral:rRNA from 1 species